GGCGGUAUGAGCCAGUCUCUUCGAUCGCAACUGUCAAAGCCUUUAAUCCUCUAUAAUUACCCAGCUUCCGUACUCCGUACAAGCAGACGAGGGCUAGGAGUAAGACCCCUCACAAGCAUAAUGUGUGCAGCAGCUGUACCAUGUUUUCGCACCAAGGAGACUUGAAAUAACUCUGCUCCAGCCGGAAUGAGGAACUGUAAGCGCUGUCUGGCCCAUGAUUGGGGGAAAUCUCUUCUGGAGCCUUUGAGCAGUUAGAUUUUAAUCGUUAGUCCUAGAAGUCGGGAAGUUAGCUAGUUAUUAAUAGCAAGAAUAUUCCGAAAUCACGGAAGGAUUGGCGUCGAAAAUACGGAGUAGUUAACAGAAUAAUAUAAAUCCCAU
rnacentral:sRNA from 2 species